UACAGAGGGUGCAAGCGUUGUUCGGAAUUAUUGGGCGUAAAGGGCGCGUAGGCGGUGCCACAAGUCACCUGUGAAAUCUCCGGGCUUAACUCGGAGCCUGCAGGCGAAACUGUGGUGCUGGAGUGUGGGAGAGGUGCGUGGAAUUCCCGGUGUAGCGGUGAAAUGCGCAGAUAUCAGGAGGAACACCUAUUGCGAAGGCAGCUCGCUGGGACGUUACUGACGCUGGAGGUGCGAAAGCGUGGGGAGCAAACAGG
rnacentral:rRNA from 1 species